rnacentral:lncRNA from 1 species
AAUGUAGACCAAUUUGAAAACGGGACCAAAAAUUAAGAAUCUAAAUACACGGUUAGAUUUGGCAUAUCAAAGAACCCCCAUAGUUCAAUUUUUGAUGAAAUCAAACAAAGAUUAAUUUUGGCCCCUUUUGGCCCCUAAUUCCUAAACUGUUGGAACCAAAACUCCCAAAAUCCAUCCCAACCUGCCUUUUGUGGUCAUAAACCUUGUGUUUAAAUUUCAUAGAUUUCUAUUUACU